GGCAGCCUGCUGUGCGGAGCUGGGGGAGGAGGAGGGAGCCCUGGGGGACAGACAGAAGGACCAUCGAAGGAGAAACCCUGCUGGCCUCGGGACCUGGAGGAAAGAACCAGGGCCCGUGCUCCUUGGGCCAGGAUCCGGCGAUUGGACGGAACCUCUCGGAUUCCCCAGUGCUGUGAAAUCCACUUGGGGCCAUCACACCCUUCAUUGCUGUGCUCCCUGGCAGAACUCGAAUGCAGCAACUACUGCCCUGGCCCCUCAGCUUGUGGGAGGCGACGGUGAAGGUCAGGAGCAACGUCCUCUGUAACCAGACCUGUCGCCGCCGCUUUCCUUCCAACCACACUGAGCGGUUUGAGCGGCUCAUCAAGGACGACAUGCUGUGUGCCGGGGACGGGAACCACGGCUCCUGGCCAGGCGACAACGGGGGCCCCCUCCUGUGCAGGCGGAAUUGCACCUGGGUCCAGGUGGAGGUGGUGAGCUGGGGCAAACUCUGCGGCCUUCGCGGCUAUCCCGGCAUGUACACCCGCGUGACGAGCUACGUGUCCUGGAUCCGCCAGUACGUCCCGCCGUUCCCCAGACGCUAGCUGGGGUGCAGUGGGGUCUGCAUGAUCCAGGAGGGCCCGUCUUCCUUGUGGACACCCCUGCUGCUCCCCCGUCUCAGCCUCACCCUCCCGCAGAUCCCUGCCCCGAGACCCUUCUGCUCCUCUCGGUCUCUCAAGGCUCUGUGUUUCCCUGCCAGCAGGGGGCUCGGGGAGCCGGGUAGGGGCCCUCAAAGAUGAGUCGGGAGUGGAAACAGAAUCCCAGAAAUCCUAGACGGCUGCUUGUGACUUGACUCCAUUAAACAGUGUGGAAACCGC
ensembl:lncRNA novel transcript